rnacentral:lncRNA from 1 species
CAGCAGCUGCCAUUUUCCUUCUCCCCACCACAGAUUUUCCCAGUGCCAUCUUAAGCAUUCAUAUUGAAGAGAUAAGCCUCUCUGAAGGAAGUUUCACAAUAAUGGAAGGUUGAAAAGAGAACCCAAUUUAAAUCCCAGUUUAUUUAGAAGAAUGAAAACAUUGGGCAUAGGGGUUUAAAGUCUCAGAGCAUGUUCCUGUGCUCC